UGCCAGCCGCCGCGGUAAUACGGAGGGGGUUAGCGUUGUUCGGAAUUACUGGGCGUAAAGCGUACGUAGGCGGAUCAGAAAGUAUAGGGUGAAAUCCCGGGGCUCAACCUCGGAACUGCCUUUGAUACUGUGGGUCUCGAGACCGGAAGAGGUGAGUGGAAUUCCUAGUGUAGAGGUGAAAUUCGUAGAUAUUAGGAAGAACACCAGUGGCGAAGGCGGCUCACUGGUCCGGUUCUGACGCUGAGGUGCGAAAGCGUGGGGAGCAAACAGGAUUAGAUA
rnacentral:rRNA from 1 species